GUUCCCGGCGCCUGCCCCGCCCCGUCCUCCGCUCCCCACAGCCGGAGCCGGAGCCGGAGGAAGCCCCCCAGUGCCAAGAUCUGCCCCGGAUCCCUGCUCUUUGGGCCCCUGGAUUCCAUCCACUCCCACCGGAUUUUCUGACUAACGUCUCUCCUAGGGCUCCUGGCUGCGACCCUGAGAGUUUUCCCGUGUAUCUCUCGAGAGAGUGGAAGACGCGUUUUUGAUUCCUGGAGUCUCUACUUUUUGAGGCCUCGAUUCGCAGAGCCUUAAUUCUUCUUGCACCUUAUGCCCAGUUGGAUCCUCACAG
rnacentral:lncRNA from 1 species